AAUUUAUAAAUUGUUAUUUUUUUUAUUGUUGAUUUAUUAAUAGAAAUAACUUAUUUUUUAGUAAUUUUUAAUGAAAAAAUUAUUUUUAACUUUAGUUAAUUGUACUGUAAAGGAUUUUAUAAAUUGUUUAUAAGUAAACUUUUUUUGUUGUACCUUUUGUAUCAGGGUUUAUUAAAUUAAAAUUAAUUAUUAUUAAUUUUCCCGAAAUUAAAAGAGAUAUAAUAUAAUGGAAGUUACUGUUACAUAAUUAUUUUUAAUUAUAUUAUAGGGAUGAUAUGUUAUUCAAUUUUAAAUAUCUGGUUAUUUAAUAAAUGAAUUUAAUUCAGAUAUUAUAUUGUUAAUUUAUAAUUUUAUUUUAUUUAAUAUAUAAUAUUAAUACUAAAAGGGAUAAGCUUUUUAGUAAGUUCAUAAUUUAUUUUUUAUAUAAUUUUAAUAGGCUUGACAACAGCCAUUUUUAAUUUCGUUAUAGUUUAAAUUAUAUAAAAAUUUAUUUUUUUUAAAUUUGAAUAUUUAUUAAAUUAUAUUUUUUAAUUUAUUAUUUAUAGAAAUAAUGAUAAUAUUAGUAGUAUUUUAUAUUUAAAUAUAAUAAUUCGGCAAAAAUAGUUCUCGCCUGUUUAACAAAAACAUGUCCUAUAGAUUUAAUAAUUUUAGGUCUAGUCUGCCCAAUGAUUUAUUUAAUGGCUGCAGUAUUUUAACUGUACGAAGGUAGCAUAAUCAUUUGUCUUUUAAUUGGAGGCUUGUAUGAAUGGCUGGACGAGGAACUUACUUUUUUUAUUUAAAUUUUAUGAAUUUAAUUUUUUAGUCAAAAAGCUAAAAUUUUUUUGCAAGACGAGAAGACCCUAUAGAAUUUUAUUUAUUUAUAUUAAUUAAAUAUUAAGUUAUUUAACUAUUUUAUUUAUAUAAAUAAAUUUUGUUGGGGUGACAGUGAAAUUUAAAUAACUUUCAUAUAUACAAUUCAUUGAUUUAUGUAAAAUUGAUCCCUUUUUAUUAGGAUUACUAGAUUAAAUUACCUUAGGGAUAACAGCGUAAUUUUUUUGGAGAGUUCUUAUCGAUGAAAAAGUUUGCGACCUCGAUGUUGGAUUAAAAUUAGGAUUGGGUGCAGAAGCUCAUAUUUAUAAGUCUGUUCGACUUUUAAAUUUUUACAUGAUCUGAGUUCAGACCGGCGUGAGCCAGGUCGGUUUCUAUCUGCAAUUUUAUAAAAUAUUUUAGUACGAAAGGACCAAAUAUUUAUAAUAAUUAUUUAAUUUUUGAAUAUUAUUA
rnacentral:rRNA from 1 species